rnacentral:lncRNA from 1 species
ACACACACACACACAAAAUAUGUGAAUUUAAAGAAAAAAACUUUAAUGAGUUGGAGGGCUAAAGAGAUAUUAGUGGAGAAGUCACCUCUUAUGCAAACAUGAGGACCUGAGAUCAGUCCCCAGAGCAGACAGAUAGCCCAGCACAGUAGCAGUCACGUGUAUCAGCACUCUUCCUGUGAGAUAGGGCAGAGAUAGGCGAGUCCCUGUGAGCUCAAGGGCAGCCAGCCUGUCAUAGGCAGCAGCAGGAAAGAUCCUACCCCUAAACAAGAUGGAAGGCAAAGAACAACACCUGCGCUUGUCCUCUGAUCCCCUCACAUGCACCGGGGUGUACACAACCAUACUCACACAAACACACUCACACACACAAACACACUCACACACACAAACACACUCACACAUACAAACACACUCACACACACAAACACACUCACACACACAAACACACACACACAAACACACUCACACACACACACACUCACACACACACACACACUCACACACACAAACACACUCACACACACAAACACACUCACACACAAACACACUCACACACACAAACACACUCACACACACAAACACAAACACACUCACACAAACACACUCUCACAGACACAGAAGAUUUUCUUUUUUCUUUUCCGAGAUUGAUUUAUUUUAUGUACAUGAGUACACUGUCGCUGUCUCCAGACACACCAGAAGAGGGCACCAGAUCCCAUUACAGAUGGUUGUGAGCCACCUUGUGGUUGCUGGGAAUUGAACUCAGGAUCUCUGGCAGAGCAGUCAGUGCUCUUAACCACUGAGCCAUCUCUCCAGCCCUGAAGAUUUUCUU